CUGUGAAGCAAGGGUAGUGCUAAGGGGUGAAAAACACUGCCUGGGCUUCCUGCCCUUCCCUUCAUGUCUGCGUUUAAAGCCAAACUCAAAUCUGCUCAUAACCCGAGUGUUCCAUUUCUUUGCCUGUGACUCUACCAUGUUUGCCUGUAGUCUCUUGGCUCUAUACCCCACUUUCAGCUCCCUGCCCUCCCCACUUUUUAAAGCAGUGCUCCAGCAGACCACAUCUUGGUGGUUGGGGUUUGUUAUCCCUUCUCGUUGACUGAGCUGCAGAUUUUUAAGACGUUUCUGCUCUAGGUGAUCAGGCUGCUCUCUUCUUGGAAAUCACCACGUCAGAACAAGCAGGAAUAAGCAUGUGCCUGCUGCUGCUGGAGGUGGCUUUGGCCGGGCAGCCAGGCUGGGAAGCAGAGCCUGAGGUUAGGCUGGGGUCUGCUGUGCAGCUCUGGGCCAGUGACUGCGAUGUCCAGCAUUCCCGCGCUGGACAAGGCAGAAGCAGUGAGCACUUGAGUGAAAAUGGAGUGUUGCAGGCACCAGAUUGGCUCAUGAGUUUUCAGUUUUCCAAGCCUGUGAGAUACACAUGCGAGAUGCUCGAGUGAGAUUUCUCAGCCCUUUUCCAAAUAAUGCUUGGCUGAUGAGCACGUGCUGCUCUUCAUCAUGCUGUUUUUGAUGCGGGGCUUGUGUUUUGCAGACAAUGAGUGGAAAUGAGGAUGACUGGCUGGCUCUCAAACCCCAGGAACCUUCUCCAUCCCAGUGUUGCGGCAGCGGCUGCAAACCCUGCAUCUAUGAUGUGUAUGAGAAAGAGCUUGCACAAUGGGAAAGGGCCAAAGCAAAGCAAGACAAAAGUUUCCUCAUGGAAAAGAAGGAGCAGAGCAAUAAUUCAGAACUGAAUCCAGAUACAUUUACUGCAUUCAACAUAAGCUCGGUGGAGCAGCUAACAGAGGACACCUACCAGUACAAAUUUGAAUUACCAGGAAAUAGCAGUCUGCGAUUGAGUUUAGGACAACAUAUCGUGUUAAGAGGAGUGGUGAAUGGUUUGGAGGUCCAGCGAGCCUAUACUCCGAUUAGCCCAGGGAAUGCAGAAGGGUACUUUGAAGUGUUAAUGAAAUGCUAUGAAGCUGGGCUAAUGUCACAAUACAUAAAAACAUGGAAAAAAGGAGACGCGGUCUUUUGGCGUGGGCCGUUUGGAGGGUUCCCGUAUCAACCUAAUAAGCAUGGAGAACUCCUCAUGUUGGCAUCUGGUACUGGCCUCGCACCAAUGCUUCCCAUCCUCCGGUCCAUAACAGAUGAUGAAGAUGACGAAACUUUUGUAACUCUUGUUGGCUGCUUCCGUACCUUUGAUAAAAUUUAUUUGAAACCUCUUCUCCAGGAUCUGGCUCGAUACUGGAACAUCAGAAUAUUUUACAUCCUAAGCCAGGAAACUUCGCUGGAAAAACUUCCUUGGAGCUAUCAGGAAAACACAUACACAGGUCGUCUUAAUGAAGACUUGAUGAAGACGAUAAUAAAUUCUUGUCGAAGAAGGCCAUUUGUAUUAAUCUGUGGCUCUUCUGCAUUCAAUGAAGAUAUGAGUAGAUACUUGAAAGCUGCAGGAAUCGAAGAAAGUUCCUGUUUUGUCUUCUAGCAGGAUAUUCCUGACCUGAGGACCCUCAGGCCAGGCCUUGGAUGUCCUUGUUUCUCUGCAGACGUUGCUCAAAAUUGGUCAUCUCAAUAGACUAACUUCCUUGUGCGUAUACUUUCAUAGGCCUUUGGAUCAAAUACCUGUCUCCAGUAUGAUUCUCACUCUUGAGAGUGUUAUAAGGAACGGGUGCCAUUCCAGAGCGGCUGCUACAUGGCAUGCUGCCCACACCUCAGGGAACAGCAUGGUGAUUUUAAUGGAGGUCUUCACGUGCAAUUUUGAGAGAGAGAUCUCUUAAGGGUACUAAAAAGCAUCCAAGUACACAGCUGUGCUGUAAUACGAAGACCAGUGACUUGCUUUGCAAUCCGUGUUAGUCUGCAGUGGUGGUAUUGUGCCCUGUUAGAUGUCCAGAGGAGAGACUUAAUCCUCGGGGAGAAGACUGCCCGGCCAUGGGAACAGCGGAGCACUGGCCCCACACUCAGGAGUGCAUAGGGCCUCUCACAAGUGCCCAAGGGGGUGCCCGAAGCCCAUGAGACCACCACCUGAGGAGCGAAAACUUUGCGGAGCUUUGGGGUGCUGCCCCACAGGGUGGGGGGCAGAGCCAAGGGCCUGCCCUGGGGGAUGGCAGCCCCGUGGCUGCCCUGGCACAGCACCCGGCCUGGGUGCCCUGGCCCUUUCCUUCUCUUUCAGUCCCAGGUGCUGCUGCCUUUCCUCCGAGAUAUCUGCUGUCUGCUCCUUUACCUUCAGAGGCCACUGGAAAUACAGCCUUUCUGCACAGCUUUCUGUUUUCCCGCUCAUUCCCAGUUCAUCCUGUGUUGUGGUUUCCCAGGCUGUGACAGAUCCUGUUGCGUUACAUUUCAUGCCUCAUUUUUUACCUGUAUUAAAUAGUACACCUUACACAAAGGAGAUGUAGUUUAACAGUUACUCAAAAUAAGCAGUGUGCACUAAAAUGAUGGCUCCGAUUCGCACAUUGGGAGGAAGCGUAGGUUCCCCUCCCAUCAGCAAGAUUUAUCUCCAGUUACCAAAUACCUAGAAUUAAUCCAGCAUAGCUGCGGCUUUUAUAUUAACCUCAUCAAAGGCAGGGCUGAUGAGAAAGCCAUCUUUGUAACCCAAAAUAUGGUUCUGGCUUUUAACACAGAGAGAUCUGGGGAAGGUGUCCAUGGUAGGGCCAAGGCAAGCUCUCAACUCCCAAACCGUGCUUCAGCUGUAAGACACUGAUGUAGUAGAGGCGCUUCUGCACAGCAUGGGGCUGAUAAAAUAAGGAGUUGCUUUCUCCAGUUGCUGUCCCUGCUUUGGCCUUAGCUAGGAACACAGAGAAAAUAUUUUCCUCAAAUAUUGCAUACUCUGAAAACCUUCCUUACACACCUCUUGCU